UAACCACUCAAGCCUAGCUUGGUAUUGGGGCUCGCAGUCUCGCGGCUCCUAAAAUCAGUGGCGGUGCCGUCUGGCUCUAAGCGUAGUAAUUUUCUCGCUAUGGAGUCCGGGUGGUUGCUUGCUAAAAACCUUAACUCCUCAC
rnacentral:misc_RNA from 1 species